GAGUAGCCGAAGCGAUAUCAUUAGUAGUCUCGUUUUAUAUUUAGGGGCCUCGCCACGCAAAUUCGAUUUCCCCGUACCACCGCCUCAAGAACCUUCCCCCCCUCCCCACCUUUCCUCUUCUCCCUCCUGGCUUUCUCUCCUCGGGGCUCGGGGUUCUCGAUUUCCGUCGGAUCGUGUUCUUGAUUUUCGAAAUGUGAGUUCAAGAAAUACUCGUUGUCGACUAUUUCAUCUGUUUUUCGGAUCCUUUCUCGAGUUCUGGCGUUCACUUUGAGGGUUUUCUCGCUGCAUUUUCUAUUUUUUUUCGGUUGAUGAGAAUGAGAUGGUUUGUGAUAAUUUUUUCAUAGAUUGGGUCUUGAUUUUUUUGGUGUUUCUUGUUUUUUUUUUUCUCUUUGUGGAGAUUUUCUUGAGGAGAACUGGAUUAGUGGUCGUUGCGGAGGAGGGGUUUUAGGGUUUGCUGAGCCUUGUAGCGGCUAAGAGUGGAAGCGUUUGUGGUUAGUGCUUAGGAUCGAGAGGAAUACGUUUGUACUCUUUGUGACGAGAUGAUAGAGCGGUCCGGACUAAGUAAAGAAGCCAAGAUCAUGACGCAGGGUAGGAUACAAGUAAUUUUUUUUUUUUUAUUUCUCAGGUAGUUGGCUGGUGAAAGAUGACUUGCAACUUGGAGUUAGGAGUUUGGAACCACUGUGGUUGAGAUUUAAACGACACAGGAAAACAUUCUUAUUGACUUCCAUUGAAGGAAAAAAAGAGAGAAGGUUUUGUUCAUCAGGGGUAUUUUAGACAGGAGGUUGUUUUUGAUGGUCAGGUUGCAUGUUUCCCGUAUGGAACAAUUUUGAAUGCUACCCAAGACUUGAAACAUGAUCAUGAUUUGGAGAAGGCAUACGGUGUGUUAUCGUUAGUGGUAGUUUGGUGGGUAUUAAAGAAAGGUGCACUUACAGGUUAUGUUUGGCCAUGUAUGAUGGAGUGGCAAGUGUUAGAAGUAGGUGGCGGGACUCAACCAAGGAUUGGCAUUGGCCUAGUACCAUUUUUGAUUAUAUGUCCUUUAGAUGAACUUUUUCUUGAUAUUUAGAAUGAGGUGUCACGCCAUAUGUUGUUUGUGUGUGUGAUAUAAUGUUAAUAGAUGCGAGAGGACGGGACUGUUUGCUAAACUGACUGGAACUACAUCGAAAAUUUGGAGGAUGAUGGUCUGAAAAUUUGAAGAAUAAUAAAAUUAAUGUUGUUUGGAGGGAAAAAAAUGAGAGUGAGGUCCUAGUCAAAAAUGGUGCACAAGAUAAAGAAAAUACAAUGUGCUCGCCAUUGUUACUUUAUAUUUGUAUUUCUGAAGAUGAGGAUAAUGACGAAGACAUGAUAAUAGAAUUACAUUCAGGUGGAUAAAGUGGAGAUAUGUUUGAGGUUGUUUAUAAGCAAUAAAUACUUUCAUGACUUUGGAGAAAACAUUAUAAAUAUAAAAUUCAGCUUCUAAUUCAUUAUGCAUGAGAAAGGUUGAGAAUAAGAGGGUCCAAACACACACGAGAUGAACAUUAACAUGCAUGAGAAUGCUAUGGACUUGUGAUGAAAAUAGGAAAGAUAAAGCGAGGUAUCAGUACAUUAGGAAAGGUGCUCCAGUUGUGUUAAACAGUGCAAUAAAAAUAUUUAGAUGGUAGGGCAUGUGCUAGAAAACAAGGAGGUUGGAUUGGGUAGGAAAGUAGAGGGAAGAGCUAAGACAACACGCCAGAAAACUGUAAGAAGCAAUUCCAAAUUUGCAAUGACACCAAACAUGGUUUUUAAUUGAAGUCAUUGGUUAAUAAGGGACAAACCUGAAUUUGGUUUGCUGGUUGAUUGUUAUGGUUUGGGUAUUAUGAGACCGAAACUUCCUCUAUGGGAACAGAUAUGCUUAACACAUGGCUCUCAGUCUCCACACACACACAGAGGUAGGGUUCUAAUAUGAUAAUGAUGCGCUGGAACUUGGAAAGGUUCAUUGAUAACAGCAAAAUGAUCAAAAAUCACCUUAUUAUAUUCCUGUGCAACUAAAACUCAAAUGUGCAUUUUGGCUAUUCAGCACAAGCAUGGGCAGUGGCCAAUCUUCUCUUAGUCCACCCUUAGCUUAUGUUUUAUCCAAAUUGUUGGUUGCAUAGUCCCAAUGAGAACCUGGCUUUGAGAGAAAGAAAGGCUCAAGGGGAUGGUAUAGUAGUGGUAAUUGGGUUUCAUGAUUUUUGGGGUCCUGUAGGACAGGCUAGAGUUACCAUUGGUUUCUCUUAAUCGCUAAAUGGUGGCUCCUAGAAUCCUUUUUUUUUGUUCUAGAGAUAUAAAAGAUCAUUAUUGUUCAUUUGCCUGUGAGAAUGUUGUUACCCAUUCAGUACAUAUAUGGUCCCUUUUAUGUUUUUUGUUUUCUUUGCACUGAUGAUAGAUAACCUUAAUUCUGACCUUGAUUACUAGUCCUUAUACCAUCUACAUGAGAUAAACUUAUAAAUAAAGGCAUGAUUUAAAGUUCAGAAGAUUUUAUCUUCCAUCCUCCACCCAAUGUCUUUCUGCUGAAUUGGUUCUAAACUUUUGGCCAAGGCAAUUCUGGGCAAGAGGGACUUGACAUGAAAUGCAGAAGGGCAUAUGUUGCACGGGAAAGUUACUUUAAUGUUGUAUGCAACAUUUUGAACUCACGUGACACGGAAGCACUCCUCGAAGGUUUACCUAGAUAUGUAAGAAGUCAAAACAAAGCGGGAAGUAGGCAAGGUUUGUUGUAGGAACCAUAUUGCAUUGCCAGGGGUUAAGGCAUAGAGCCAAUUUGAAUUAUAAUCUUAAAUAUUGAAGACAUAUCAUUCAAUCUUAUUAUGUAUAAAUGCCACAUUACUAUGCCAUAUUUUCUUUAAAUGUCUUAUUCCUGCACUCAGAUAAUUCAUGUCACCUAAUUACAUGAGCCGCUCGGUGCAUAUAUGUGGUAUGUUAAAGAGUGUUUUUAUUUGGUUAACUUCUCUUACUUUCUUAGUUUGAGCCAUGACAGAUCUCUUAGUUCA
rnacentral:lncRNA from 1 species